UUAAAAAUUAUAUUGCCUACCAAAAUAUAAGUUGUGAUAUUUAUAUAUAAGGGUUAAUAAGUAAUUACAUUUGUGAAUAAAAAAUGAUAGAUCUUAGAGAUUUAAUGAAAUCCCUAAAUUACCGCGUUGACUAAAGGGGAAGAAUUGUUUGGGUAAAUAUUGUGUCUUUUCACCACACGUUUACCCUUUCAUCUUCUUCUUUUUCCGUCUGCCAUUAUUGAGGAAGAAGAAGUUGUUCAAGCUCCAAGCUCCGGCGAUUCAUCCUCAGAGUACCGCUAUUCAUCUAAAUUGGUCCAAGCUCCGACGAUUGAACAAGAUGAGGAUGGUGUCGGGUUUCACCGGGAAGAGAGCAGAAGGCCAUUGUCUAAAUCUGCCAACAACCACCACAAAUCUGCCAGCAACUCGCCGCCGCCGACGACCGGCGACCGGAGCACCACCACCACCGACCGCAAGCACCACCACCACCACAAAUCUUCUGACCGGAGCGCAACCACCACCACAAAUCUUGCAAAAAUCUUGAUGAUUCUGCCAUCCUCCACCAUCACUAGCACCACCAAAAAUCUUCUGAUCGGUGCACCACCAGUGUUAGGUCUGGAGGGUCUCGAAUAGGUGUAUUGGGGGGGGUGACACGCACCCGUCGUGCGGUGCGGACAAAAUACUUGUGUAUGCCCGAUACAGACAAUACACGCUCCUACUUCUCACAACAAGAAUCAAGUCUUAGUGGCAAGUGUAGGGUCGAAUCCCACAGGGAGUGAGGAACUACUUUGUUCUCCAACGACAAACUGAGGUGUCACAGGUCUCAAUCUGUAUACUCUGCACAAGAAAAUAACAAGAUCAAUAAUAACAAAUGGGUGAGGUUAUUCGGUUAGGUUAUAACUGUUGUCAACAUUCGUUUCGGUCAUAGGCAUACUGAUGAUCCGUCCAUGGUCCAUAUAAACCCGAGGCGCGGCCCAAAGACAUUGGGGCGUUUCAAGGGUCUAUACUUCACACUUGGGAUGGUUGAGCUCAUUGUAGUCACUUGGUCCGAAGAUCACACAUUUCCCGGUCACAAGGCAGUGCUCCACUCCUCCUUAGAUAGUAGUCAUACCCGUUACUCACCAAGUAUGACCCUCACCAACCUUCUCUCCCGAAGUCCCCAACUCUGCACUUUGAGUGACACAUGCCUCCUGGACACAACCAUUUCCGGCUUGUUAGCCGACCAGUCAUAGACAUGCUACGGCGCAGAAGUUGCCUUCCUCGUUUGAUAACCAUGGCUUGAUGCCUCGUCACAGUUGAUGGAUAGUCUCUAGAGAAGCUCAAGACUGAGGAAAGUCAGUGUAUCCCAUCAAUCCUUUCCCCACCUUCCGGAUCUACAACGCCUUUUAUUGACGCUGUUCAGCUACUCGGUCUUGGGUAUACCGGUUGUCACGCCCUGGUAUACCCUGGCCUUUGCUUGACACGGACAGCGUUUUAUCGAACGGAGAUCACCCGUCAGGCCCCUAUUGUCCAUGGUUUGGCACAGAUCCAUCCGGAACCACGAGACUCAACCGAAAGAACAAAUGCCUCACGAAUAUUUACAUGUUGACAACAAUUAUUUCCACCCCUAAAACCUCACCUAGGGAACUACUCACACAUAACAGAAUUCAUAAAUGCGAAAUGAAUAAAACACAUCAUGUAACAAAAGGAAAAUACUUGAUUAAUAGAAAUGAUACCUACGGCCUCGAGCCUUGAAUCUUGUUCGAAUGAAAACACAACGGAAACAUGAAACAGUGCUGGAAUAUAAAUUAUUUUGGAUGCCACACGCGGCGGAAUUGGAAUAGUAAAACUAAAUAAAACAAGAGUUUAAAAGUGCCAAGAAGUUCUUUCACGCUGCACAUCCUCCUCCUUUUAUACUGUCGAAUGGUGAAGGUCUAACCCGCCCUAGCUGCGCCAGCUUCAUAUCUUCAUCAAGAUCUUCUUUCCUUCUUUAGCUCAAUCCUUGAUUGAUCCGAUUGAAGAUAGCUUCCAGCUGCUUGCUGUGGUCAACCUUUCCCUUUCUUCAGAUUCUUCUAGCUUCUUCUUCCUUCUUCCAUUCGCUUCCUCCAAUUCCCGAGAUUUACUUUCCUUUCCUGGCUUUGGCUGUCUGCUUCUCAUUGUAGUGGUCAGACGAAUUGCUUCAUUUGGUUUGAUUCAUACCAGGUGGGUUGCUUCAGGUUCCCAUGCCCCAAGUUAGACUGGAGAGGUACUGCAGUCGAAGCUCCAUGCUGGUAAACAUGACAUUGCAAUCUGGGCCUGAUAAUGCCCACUCUACUGGACCUUCCUUCUGUUUCCACUCUACUGGACCUUCCUUCCUCAACAACUUCAUUCUCCACUGGACAGACCUGAACUGACACGAAUAAAGAGAAAAAAGAGGGCCAAAUGGCCUAAAAGUCGAAGACGCAUCAGGGGGAAAAUACACCUAUAGGCUAUUUUUAAGAAAACAGAGGGAUCUCAAGAUAGAGAUCAAAACGAAACUUUACACGCAAACUUAGACGCCUGUUUACUGAAAAGAGUUUUGACCAAACAGGGUUGACGACUGAUACUGAAAUACUCUUCAGUAAUGAGUUAUCAGUUAAGUUAUUAGAACUU